rnacentral:ncRNA from 2 species
CCGCGUGUAUCGGGAGAGUCUGUGCCAGCCGCCCGGCCGACACGGCGCCGAAGGAGCAACCGCCCCGGAAACUCUCAGGCAAAAGGACCGGUACCCGCCA